AAACAAUAACAAACGGGAGGAGGAGGAGGAGGAAGAAGAAGGAGGAGGAGGGCGGCUUGUCGUCGUUAUUGUCGGGAUUGUCGGGACUGUGGGGAGAUGUGAGGGGGAGCGGCCCCCUGCCCCUUGGCCUGUUGCCCCCUUGGCCUGUUGUCCUGGGCCGUGGGGCCUGCGGUGGGGUGGGCGGCCAUGGCGGGCGUGGGGGCCCCGGGCCCCGGGGGCUACGCGGCCGAGUUCGUGCCGCCCCCGGAGUGCCCCGUCUUCGAGCCCAGCUGGGAGGACUUCACCGACCCGCUCGGCUUCAUCGGACGCAUCCGCCCGCUGGCAGAGAAGACGGGCAUCUGCAAGAUCCGACCCCCCAAGGACUGGCAGCCUCCAUUCGCAUGUGAAGUGAAGAGUUUUCGCUUCACUCCGCGUGUUCAGCGUCUGAAUGAACUCGAGGCAAUGACCCGAGUGAGACUGGACUUCUUGGAUCAACUGGCCAAAUUCUGGGAACUCCAAGGGUCCACUUUGAAAAUCCCCGUGGUGGAGCGGAAAAUCCUGGAUCUCUAUGCUCUGAGCAAGAUCGUCGCCAACAAAGGAGGAUUCGAGAUGGUCACUAAAGAGAAGAAGUGGUCCAAGGUGGGCAGCCGCCUGGGCUACCUACCGGGCAAAGGCACCGGCUCUCUGCUCAAGUCUCACUACGAACGGAUCCUCUACCCGUAUGAGCUCUUCCAGUCCGGUGUUAGCCUCAUGGGUGUCCCACUGCCCAGCUUGGACCUUAAAGAGAAAGUGGAGGCCGCGGUCCCUGACACCGAUUCCCAGGCUCCCCCAGAUCAGGGCCCGAGGGCGAGCCUUCUGCCGAAGAGAACCAGGCGUGUCAAGUCCCAGCCGGAGACCGGAGAAGUGAGUAGGAAUGCCGAGCUGAAGAAGCUUCAGAUCUUUGGAGCGGGGCCCAAGGUGGUGGGUCUGGCGGUGGGAGCGAGAGAGAAAGAAGAUGCAGUCGCCCCGAGGCGCAAGGGGACCAGGCCGGAAGCCUUCAGCAUGCAGAUGAGGCAGCGUAAAGGGACGCUUGCGGUUAACUUUGUGGACCUGUACGUCUGCAUGUUCUGCAGCCGUGGCAACGAGGAGGACAAGCUGCUGCUUUGCGACGGCUGUGACGACAGCUACCACACUUUCUGCCUCAUCCCACCGCUGCCCGACGUGCCCAAGGGUGACUGGCGCUGCCCUAAGUGUGUUGCGGAGGAAUGCAGCAAGCCCCGAGAGGCAUUUGGCUUUGAGCAGGCGGUCCGGGAGUACACCCUCCAGAGCUUCGGCGAGAUGGCUGAUAACUUCAAGUCCGACUACUUCAACAUGCCAGUCCAUAUGGUCCCCACGGAGCUGGUGGAGAAGGAAUUCUGGCGGCUGGUGAGCAGCAUCGAGGAGGACGUCAUCGUGGAAUAUGGCGCCGACAUCUCCUCCAAGGACUUCGGCAGCGGAUUCCCUGUGAAGGCCAGCGGAAGGAACGUGGUGCCGGAGGAGGAGGAGUAUGCCCUUUCCGGCUGGAACCUGAACAACAUGCCCAUCCUGGAGCAGUCGGUCCUGGCACACAUCAACGUGGACAUCUCCGGCAUGAAGGUGCCCUGGCUGUACGUGGGGAUGUGCUUCUCGUCCUUCUGCUGGCACAUUGAGGACCACUGGAGCUAUUCCAUUAACUACCUGCACUGGGGGGAGCCAAAGACGUGGUAUGGUGUGCCAUCCCACGCCGCAGAACAGCUGGAAGAGGUGAUGAGGGAGCUGGCCCCCGAACUCUUCGAGUCCCAACCAGAUCUCCUGCACCAGCUGGUCACCAUCAUGAACCCCAACGUGCUGAUGGAGCAUGGCGUGCCUGUGUUCAGGACCAAUCAGUGUGCGGGCGAGUUUGUGGUGACGUUCCCACGGGCCUACCAUUCCGGGUUCAACCAGGGCUAUAACUUCGCCGAGGCUGUGAACUUCUGCACUGCCGACUGGCUGCCCAUCGGCCGUCAGUGUGUGAAUCACUAUCGGCGGCUGAGACGCCACUGCGUCUUCUCCCACGAGGAGCUCCUCUUCAAGAUGGCGUCCGAUCCAGAGUGCCUGGACGUCGGGCUGGCGGCCAUGGUCUGCAAAGAAAUGACCCUCAUGACGGAAGAAGAGACGCGGCUGAGGGAGGCCGUGGUACAGAUGGGCGUGCUGAUGUCAGAAGAGGAAGUAUUUGAACUGGUUCCGGACGACGAGCGUCAGUGUUCAGCCUGCCGAACCACGUGCUUCCUGUCGGCCCUCACCUGCUCCUGUAAUCCCGAGCGACUCGUGUGUCUCUACCACCCGGCCGACCUGUGCCCCUGCCCCAUGCAGAAGAAGUGUCUGAGGUACCGAUACCCUUUGGAAGACCUCCCGUCGCUGCUGUAUGGGGUGAAAGUCAGGGCCCAGUCCUACGACACGUGGCUCAACCGAGUUACUGAGGCACUGUCAGCCAACCUCAACCACAAGAAAGAUAUCAUCGAGCUGAGAGUGAUGUUGGAAGACGCCGAAGACCGCAAGUACCCGGAGAACGAUCUCUUUCGCAAGCUCAGGGAUGCCGUGAAGGAGGCCGAGACGUGCGCCUCCGUGGCCCAACUCCUCCUCAGCAAAAAGCAGAAGCACAGCCGGCAGAGCCCAGAGAGUGGGAAGACCCGCACUAAACUCACCAUGGAGGAGUUGAAGGCCUUUGUCCAGCAGCUGUUUAGCCUGCCCUGUGUCAUCAGCCAGGCGCGACAAGUCAAGAACCUGCUGGAUGAUGUGGAGGAAUUCCACGAGCGGGCACUGGAGGCCCUCCUGGACGAGACACCCAACUCCACCAAGCUGCAGGUGCUGAUCGAACUGGGCUCGAGCCUUUACGUGGACCUGCCCGAGCUGCCCCGCCUGAAGCAGGAGCUGCAGCAGGCCCGCUGGCUGGACGAGGUCAGGCUGACCCUGGCCGACCCCCAGCGCGUCACGCUGGACGUCAUGAAGAAGCUGAUCGACUCGGGGGUGGGGCUGGCCCCUCACCAUGCCGUGGAGAAGGCCAUGGCCGAGCUGCAGGAGCUGCUGACCGUCUCAGAGCGCUGGGAGGAGAAGGCCAAGGUCUGCCUGCAGGCCCGACCCCGUCAAAGCGUGGCCAGCCUCGAGGGCAUAGUGAGCGAAGCCAAGAACAUCCCGGCCUUCCUGCCUAACGUCCUGGCCCUGAGGGAAGCCCUGCAGAGGGCCAAGGAGUGGACAUCCAAGGUGGAGGCUAUCCAGAGCGGAAGCAACUAUGCCUACCUGGAGCAGCUGGAGAGCCUGUCAGCCAAAGGCCGGCCGAUCCCUGUGCGCCUGGACGCGCUGCCCCAGGUGGAAUCGCAGGUGGCCGCGGCCCGAGCCUGGAGGGAGCGCACUGGUAGGACCUUCCUGAAGAAGAACUCGAGCCACACUCUGUUACAGGUGCUGAGUCCCCGGACCGACAUCGGCAUCUACGGAAGCAGCAGGAACCGCCGGAAAAAGGUGAAAGAGCUGAUGGAGAAGGAUCUGGACCUGGAUUCCCUGAGUGACCUGGAGGAUGGACUGGAGGAGGCCAGAGACACCGCGGUGGUGGUGGCGGUUUUCAAGGACCGGGAGCAGAAAGAGGUGGAAGCCAUGCACUCCCUCCGUGCGGCCAACCUGGCCAAGAUGACCCUGGCGGACCGCAUCGAGGAGGUCAAGUUCUGCGUGUGCCGCAAGACGGCCAGCGGCUUCAUGCUGCAGUGCCAGCUGUGCAAGGACUGGUUCCACGGCAGCUGCGUGCCCCUGCCCAAGGCCAGCUCUCAGAAGAAGGGGUCCAGCUGGCAGGCCAAAGAGGUCAAGUUCCUCUGCCCCCUGUGCAUGCGUUCCCGCCGGCCCCGGCUGGAGACCAUCCUGUCCCUGCUGGUGUCCCUGCAGAAACUGCCUGUGCGGCUGCCCGAGGGCGAGGCACUGCAGUGCCUGACUGAACGGGCCAUGAGCUGGCAGGACCGGGCCCGGCAGGCCUUGGCUACGGACGAGCUGUCGGCGGCCCUGGCCAAGCUCUCGGUGCUCAGCCAGCGCAUGGUGGAGCAGGCCGCCCGGGAGAAAACGGAGAAGAUCAUCAGUGCUGAGCUCCAGAAGGCAGCGGCCAACCCCGACCUCCAGGGACAUUUGCCCAGCUUCCAGCCGUCGGCCUUCAACCGGGCGGUGAGCAGCGGGGCCUCCUCCCCCCGUCAGACGAUGGACUACGACGAUGAGGAGACGGACUCGGACGAAGACAUCCGCGAGGCAUACGGCUACGACAUGAAGGACACUGCCAGCGUGAAGUCCUCUAGCAGCCUGGAGCCGAAUCUGUUCUGCGACGAAGAGAUCCCUAUCAAGUCGGAGGAGGUAGUGACCCACAUGUGGACAGCCCCUUCGUUCUGUGCCGAGCACGCGUAUUCUUCAGCAUCCAAGAGUUGUUCUCAAGGCUCCAGCACCCCUCGGAAACAGCCGCGCAAGAGCCCUCUGGUUCCUCGCAGUCUGGAACCACCAGUGUUGGAGCUGUCGCCGGGCGCCAAGAUGCAGCUGGAGGAGCUGAUGAUGGUGGGCGACCUGCUGGAGGUGUCCCUGGAUGAGACCCAGCACAUCUGGCGCAUCCUGCAGGCCACGCAUCCUCCCGCGGAGGACCGCUUCCUGCACGUCAUGGAGGAGGACAGCAUGGAAGAGAAGCCACUGCGGAUCAAAGGCAAGGACUCCUCGGAGAAGAAGCGCAAGCGGAAGCUGGAGAAGGUGGAGCAGCUCUUCCCCAAGUCGAAGGAGCUGAAGAAGCUGGACAAGCCCAAGAAGAAGAAGCUGAAGCUGAGCCUUGGCAAGUCGAAGGAGCUGAGCAAGCUGGCCAAGAAGCUGGCCAAGGAGGAGGAGCGCAAGAGGAAGCGGGAGAAGGCCGCAGCCGCUGCCGCCGCCAAGGUAGAGCUAGCCAAGGACAGCGGGGAGAAGAAGCGGGAGAAGAAGGUGCUGGACAUCCCCUCCAAGUACGACUGGUCAGGCGCCGAGGAAUCCGACGACGAGAACGCCGUUUGCGCCGCCCAGAACUGCCAGCGACCCUGCAAGGACAAGGUGGACUGGGUGCAGUGUGACGGCGGGUGCGACGAGUGGUUCCACCAGGUGUGCGUGGGCGUGUCUCCGGAAAUGGCCGAGAGCGAAGACUACAUUUGCCUAAACUGCGCCCGGAAGGCGGGGCGGGGCAGCCCCUGCCCCGUCCCACCCCCUGCUUUCCUAAUGAGCUACAAGUUACCGCUGGACGGCACCAAGGACACCAGUUAGCAGCGGCCGCAGCCCCGUCCCGCCGGGCCUCGGGGGAGACGGACCCCGCCGAGACCGCCCCCCCCGGCGGUCCGUCGAGGGCGGGGGCGGUCCGGAUCCAACGUCGCCAGCUUGGAAAGCCUCGGGCCCGAGGGGCCUGUGGUCGGCGGCAGGGAGGGAUGGCCCGUCCCCUGCCCCCGCCAGCUCUGAGCCGGAUUCUUCUCCGCCCCGGGGUGUCCCAGCUAAGUACUGUCACGGCCCAGUGAGGUGGAGGGGCCUCCUCUGACUCUUCCGCCAACGUCCUGACUCCGGUGUGCCAUGGGGGGCCGCACCCAUCUGGGGACUUGCCCAAGCAGCUGGGGGGCCAGGGAGCAUAGGCCUAGUCGCCUGCUCAUGGGUGACGCGGGCCUGGCUGGGGGCCAGGGGCCAAGGGGUAGGUGGCGAGAGCCCCGGGAUUCCCUCACCAGGCGGCCGCACAGCCCGAGAGCCCAUAGGAAGCCGGGGCCUUGGUGGGGAUGCUGUUCCCAGCCGGAUGGGGUGGCGGUUGGAGCAUCGCUUCCUGGACGGCACUGGUGUGCAGCCCCCUCGCAGUUGGGAUGGGGGUUGGGCCGUUCAGAAGGCAAAGGAGCACAGAAGUCAGGCACCAGCGCCGGGCCUAUUUACCAAAAAGAAACCUUCCUACCCCUUUCCUGACUGCGGCCUUCGAAGAGGACCGUCUCUCCCUUCAGCUGGCCCAGGUCAUCUCAGCUGCCCCGAAGAGGGGCGGUCCUCUCCGCUCGAGUGGUUGGCGGGCCCCACUGGAACCUGGUGGCUGGGAACUCCUGUUCUCCCUGAGGAAAGGGGCUGGCUCGGAGUGUUCCCUGGGGCCCAGGCCCCCACUGCGGAGAGGAAGAAGAGCAAGACAGCGAGCUCUAACACCCACACAUGGGGAGGAGUGCCGCCCGGCUGAGCUGCAGCGGAGCUUGCUGGGGCAUCGGCCUUGCACAAAUGUCACCAACGUCAUCAGGCCUGAGGCUCGGUUACGGGGGCGGCAGCCGCCCACCCCUGCCCCGUACCGCACGGGGCCCAUGCCGACCGCCUUCCUUGGUUCACGGGGGCGCCCAGGGGUCGGAGCCCAGGGAUGGUGGUCCACUAGUGGCAGCCACAUAGCACAGGGCGAUAGAGGUUAUCCCAGUUUCCCCGGAGGCCACAGGGUGGUGGCGCCUCUGGGCACCGAGGUGGUUUUAGUAAAUCCAUUUUUCAAAAGAAGACUUGUUUUUACUUUUUUCUAAAUGUCUCUGACUACUGGCUGUUCUAUACAUAGAAUAUUUUUCUUUUUCUAAUAUGCAUAUGUACAAAAAAAAAGGCUAUAUUCACCACUGUUACCAACAGCAUAGGGACAGGGUUUCCCACAUCGAGAACUCCUCUGGGCGCCUCUUUUUGUUCUUCAGUUUUGCUUUGGAACGAGACCUUCCAUUCCUUCCUUGUAGUGCCAGGAGCUGGUGGUCAGCUGCCCCACCCUAGCCCACCAUCUUACCUUGACCAGACCCACCGUCUUGCUCUUGUUCAAAUAGAUGGAAAAUGGACCGCAAAAUUCCCAGAGGCCUGGGGGGCCAGAGACGCCGCAGCGUUCUCCCAAACCGCACAGAGUUUCCGGCGGGGCUUUCUCCAUAGGCUGCAAUCUGGCCAUUCCUGGGCCCCUUAAUAUCAUUCCGAUUUGGAGGUAACCAAAAACCAGCUUAGACCACCGGCCUAAGAGUCUUCCCCUCCUGGCGGACCUUGGCCCGCUCAACCGGAGAGCUCUUUUUCUGGGCCCCGUGAUCUUGGAGGAAAGAUGCCCCGUGGCUACGGGUUUGCCGGCUCUGGAGAUUUCUCCAGUGUUAGCAGAAUCACCUCGAUCUGCUAAUGCAGCUGGAAUGAUUGGACACAAACCACUAGUGAUCCAGAGUCCCAGGAGCUUCGGGCCAAAGCCGCUUCUUGAUGUGAACUGAGAAUGUGGGAGUGAUCCCUUUCAUCCCCCUUGACUCUGGUAGGUCAUAUGAUGGGGCCUUUGCUGUCCCAUAGCCUCUGCAGCCUGUGGUUUGGGGGGCAGCCUUGUGACCGCUCCCCCAAUCCUCUUCUCCAACUCCUAUGGCUUGUGGAAGACCAGGGGUCCUCGGGCCAAUGGGUCCUGGAUCAGAGGUGGUCAGUCAGGGAGUACCCACACCCUGGCUCUCGGCGGGGACCCUUCCCCGAAAGUCUGACGAGACAUCAUCCACCAACAGCCGGGGAUGGCCUCAUCUGGCACUUCCUUGCUUCUGCCCCAAUUCUGGUGGGGGGUUUCUGAGGCAAAUUGUCAUGGAAACCCGCAAGAGGGUAGUCUGAUCUGACACUCCAGAUUCAGACCCCCGGCCAUUCCCCGGCUUGAUGAAGUUUAGAACAAGGCCAACUGCUGUAUGAUGAUCCUGGCGUUAUCAAAGUGGGGCAGGCCGUAUCUAUUUAAGGACUUGGCCAUUGCACCUGAUUAAUGAUGGGGCACAGAAGAACCAGUUUUUUCUCUGUGGGCAGAGGGGGCCAGGGCAGGGCUGGAUCUUUUCAGCACUGCUUGGAAAAACCAAGGCCUCGUCAGAGAUCGGGCAUGAGCUAGUCUGGGAGAGCAGAAAACUGGCCCCUGAGGAGAGGGGGCGACCCAUGAGAGGAAAACGUACUCGAUGGCCUCAAUCCAUCAGUGGUACUUCCCGAGAGCUUACUGUGUACAUAGAGCACUGUACUAAGCACUUGGAUUUGUGCAACGCAGCCGGUUUUGGGGCUAGACCUGAAAGCAAUCUCCCUUUCCCCCGAAAGUGGCAGCUCCCCACGAUCUGGAGGAGUGUUUGUACAAACUGCCUUCCCCAAGGCUAAGACUCUUGCUACCCCACAAACACCCGAGGCAUUAACAGAAAGUAGUAGGAAGGAGCUGACCGGGAGAGCAGCAUUCAUUUUUCCAUGCCAGUCACCGUUGUCCUAAUCCAGGGCCUGGGAACAGAUCCAGGCCCCUUCCCUUGUUUCCUCUCCAGAUUCCAAACACGAGCAGGCACCAUGUUAGGAGGAAGGGGCCAGUAGGGUGCUUUUAGCAACAGGUUAAAUCAAAAGAGGACCUGCAACCCAAGUUUGAGGAAGGAGAUUGGGGUUAGAACCACCGUUGGUUGAGUGCAGGGAGAAAGCCUGGCUCCAGGUGAUGCUGAGACUGGCACGAUGUAAAAUGGCUGGGGCCCACUGGUUUGCUCUCAUCUGACCCCCGAUGACCCCCAGCCUCUGUUAAAGAGCCCUGGGAGUCUGGGAUUACAGGGGAGACGGAGGAUAAUCUGCAGACCGCAGACCAGAAGGGAACUGUGGCUUCCUGCCAUCCUGGGGAUCCCGGAUGGUGCAGGUGUGAGCCCGGUGGGGUGGGAAGUGAAAAUCUGGAUUCAAGGCAGGCUCUGAUGCCUCCUGUCCUGCCAGGUCCACCCACCUAUGGGCUCCUGGGGAAUAGGUGGCACCUGCGAGUGUGACCCUGUCCAGCCGCCUUUAUUGGUCCAUCACCUGCUUUUCCCUAAGGACACUCUAUGGUCCUGCCAGGGCCCUUGGGGCCUCACAACAGCCAGAACUUGGACUUAAUGGUUUUGUGAUCUACUGAGCCCGAGACAGAGAGAGGCAGACAGGCAGUCACAUGGGCAGUUAGGAGUCGGAAAAGGAAACUCGGUCUCCGGCUCAAGUGGUUUUCAUCGGCAAGCUUGCCCUCCGGGUUCACAAGCCACCAGUGGGUCAGCGUGGCCGGCUGGAAUGGCCUGGAGGCAGGUUAGCGGGGACGGAGGGAUCAGGGAGAGGUGGGCGGGCGGCUGGCGGGCAGCUCACUUCUUUCGUCCAGUCUCUCCCCGCAGAUGGGCGGGCAAGUGCUCCGAAGCGACCGGUCUCAGGGUAGCAGAGGAAUCGCAUGCAGCCUAGCCCUGAGCCGGGGCCAAGGGUGAGGGGAGCCCAGCACAGAGCCAGUAACCCAAGACCAUGGUCAUUGCCAGAUCAGUGUCCCCGGCGGCCUCCGUGGGAACUGGUGGGAACCAGUCGGACUGGACUCCGGCCUCGACCGGAACGUGAGGUGGCGGUUUUGCCCAGCGACCUUCCCUCCGCUCCAUCAUGCGCGCCCCCUCCGAGCAGGGGAGCUUGCUCCCCGGAGGCCGGAUGCCCAACCUGGAAAACGGUUGCCGGCCAGGGGUGACUUCCCUUUUUCUCUGCCCACCCCUGUCUGGAGGAGCGGGAGGAGGAGACAGAGCUUGCUCCCGUUUUCCCUCCAAGUCACCUAAGCCAUUGAGGACAGGGCACUGCUUCUCUUUCAAAAUUUGUGCCGGCGGGCUCUCUACGCACCCCUCCACCCCUGUCUAUCCCUGUAUUGUAUAGGCUUGGCUUGCCAGAAUCAAUCCAUCUUAUUUAUUGAGUGUGUACUGUGUGCAGAGCACUGUUUUAGGCGCUUAGGAGAGUACGGUAUAACAGAGUUGGUAGGCAUGUCCCCUGCCCACAAGGAGCUUCCAGUCUAGUGGAAGAAGGCAGAAGAUGCUUCCCUAAUUCUGCCGCCACGUCCCAGCCCAAACACAAGGCAAGAAGCAGCAUUCAGGUGGGGCUGAGCAUGCAGGGCUUUGGUCGGGCCAGAGAGUGGGGCCGGGCGGUGAGCGAUGGGUCCAGCCACAAUCCCAAGGAGAAGACUCGGCAGAGCAGCAGGGCUAUGGGCCGGUCUGGGUCCCCAGGGAUUCAUUAAAUCGUAUUUCCAGCCUGGAUCGACCCUCCCUCUGGGGCCAGGGACUGAUUCCCAAGCAGGGAGAGGUCAUGGGCCAGGAGCCCGGCUAACUCACUUUUGAGGUUUCCCCACCUUUUCUCUCAACUGGACUAGCACCUUGCAGUUUCUCUUGCUCCUGUAAAGUCUGAUUUUUGAGGUCCCCUUAGGGCAGACAACCCCCAGAGUUGGGAGGGAUCCCAAGGCUCAGCCUCCUGCCUCCACAGGGACCAGCCUCACCCAGGAGCCUGACGUUUGGUGAGGCGACUUGCCGUGGGGUCGGGGGGUCCUCAGGUCAGCCCCAAUCUCCUUUCAGGACAAUAACAAUAGUAAUUGUGUAUUUGAGCGCUUACUACGUGGCAGGCACUGUACUAAGCACUGGGACAGAUA